UGUCGAUGAAGAGCGCAGCAAACUGUGUGAAUUAAUGUGAACUGCAACCUGCCAUGAACAUCGACAACUUGAUUGCACAUUGCGGCCAUGGGUUAGCCUGUGGCCACGCCUGUCCGAGAGUCG
rnacentral:rRNA from 5 species